GCCUCGGUGGUGAAAUUGGUAGACGCGCCGGACUCAAAAUCCGGUUCCGCAAGGAGUGUCGGUUCGAUUCCGACCCGAGGCACCA
rnacentral:tRNA from 2 species